GCUAGGGUUUUUGCGGCUCCACCGUUUUACUGCUUUGCCUCUAUAAAUUUCCCUGAAAUUGCCGCUUGUAUUCAAUCAAAGCGAAAGAAAAAUCAGAUCUGAAGCUUCUGCUACUGUGCUGGGGAGGACAGAAGGAUCAAUGAAGUCACAACAGUUUUAUCUUCGACAGGACUUGCCCCUUGUCUUGAAUUUGUACGUUGCCUUCUCAAAGACUCCUCGCCAGAUCAGUGAGUGGUCAUAAUGAUGAUUUUUUGUGUAGAUGCUAUGUAACACCUAAAGGAUUUGGCAGACUAGAGAUGAAAUUUUGAUAUGUAAUGAAAGGUGGUUUCCAAUACGAUCAUCAAUUAUUGUUUUGUCAUAAUAGUGAUAUAUAUAAAUCCAGUAGUAGAUAUCUUGAAAAUAACUGGUAAGGUCAUCUCUUAUAAUCUAAUUGCCCAGUAUUGCAAUCCAAA